rnacentral:lncRNA from 1 species
UCCUUCUCAUCAAGACCUUUUGUCGGUCCAAGGCUGCAUCGAUCUGCUGUCUGCCUGGCCAAUGCAUCCUUAAACUUAUGGAUCUGUGGAAUCAUUAUUACCAUUGUAAUUGGAACAUGUAUCAUUAUUACCAUUGUAAUUGGAACAUGUAUCAUGAUAAACAUUGUGAAACAAAUCGAAAAAGAACAACCUAUAUUAUGCCAAUGUCAAAUAAGAUGCAAAACCAGUUGCAUCAGCUGAGCAGCAAUCUAUCUGUCA